rnacentral:rRNA from 1 species
CCUUGAAAUACCACCCUUUAAUGUUUGAUGUUCUAACGUUGGCCCGUAAUCCGGGUUGCGGACAGUGUCUGGUGGGUAGUUUGACUGGGGCGGUCUCCUCCUAAAGAGUAACGGAGGAGCACGAAGGUUGGCUAAUCCUGGUCGGACAUCAGGAGGUUAGUGCAAUGGCAUAAGCCAGCUUGACUGCGAGCGUGACGGCGCGAGCAGGUGCGAAAGCAGGUCAUAGUGAUCCGGUGGUUCUGAAUGGAAGGGCCAUCGCUCAACGGAUAAAAGGUACUCCGGGGAUAACAGGCUGAUACCGCCCAAGAGUUCAUAUCGACGGCGGUGUUUGGCACCUCGAUGUCGGCUCAUCACAUCCUGGGGCUGAAGUAGGUCCCAAGGGUAUGGCUGUUCGCCAUUUAAAGUGGUACGCGAGCUGGGUUUAGAACGUCGUGAGACAGUUCGGUCCCUAUCUGCCGUGGGCGCUGGAGAACUGAGGGGGGCUGCUCCUAGUACGAGAGGACCGGAGUGGACGCAUCACUGGUGUUCGGGUUGUCAUGCCAAUGGCACUGCCCGGUAGCUAAAUGCGGAAGAGAUAAGUGCUGAAAGCAUCUAAGCACGAAACUUGCC